AUUGAACGCUGGCGGCAUGCUUUACACAUGCAAGUCGAACGGCAGCACGGGUGCUUGCACCUGGUGGCGAGUGGCGGACGGGUGAGUAAUACAUCGGAACGUGUCCAGAAGAGGGGGAUAACGCAUCGAAAGAUGUGCUAAUACCGCAUAUGCUCUGAGGAGGAAAGUGGGGGGAUCGAAAGACCUUACGCUUUUGGAGCGGCCGAUGUCUGAUUAGCUAGUUGGUGGGGUAAGGGCCUACCAAGGCGACGAUCAGUAGUUGGUCUGAGAGGACGACCAGCCACACUGGGACUGAGACACGGCCCAGACUCCUACGGGAGGCAGCAGUGGGGAAUUUUGGACAAUGGGCGCAAGCCUGAUCCAGCAAUGCCGCGUGAGUGAAGAAGGCCUGG
rnacentral:rRNA from 1 species